AAGUUAAUAUCCAUGAGAGUUCAUAUAAUAGCGGAGAUAGGGUCCGCAAGUUUCUACCAAACAACCGUAAAUUGUUUGACUAUGAGCGAAAAGUACACCGAC
rnacentral:ncRNA from 2 species